rnacentral:rRNA from 1 species
UCCAGCAGACAGACCACGGGUGCUAAGGUCCGUGGUCAAGAGGGAAACAGCCCAGACCGCCAGCUAAGGUCCCCAAGUCAUGGCUAAGUGGGAAAGGAUGUGGGACGGCCAAAACAACCAGGAGGUUGGCUUAGAAGCAGCCAUCCUUUAAAGAAAGCGUAACAGCUCACUGGUCUAAUUAAGCUGUCCUGCGCCGAAGAUGUACCGGGGCUAAAGCCAUGCACCGAAGCUGCGGAUGCACUCCUUAGGAGUGCGUGGUAGCGGAGCGUUCUGUAGGCCUGUGAAGGUGUGCCGUGAGGCAUGCUGGAGGUAUCAGAAGUGAGAAUGCUGACAUGAGUAGCGACAAACAGUGUGAGAAACACUGUCGCCGAAAGUCCAAGGGUUCCUGCGCAAGGCUAAUCCGCGCAGGGUAAGCCGGCCCCUAAGGCGAGGCCGAAAGGCGUAGUCGAUGGGAACCACGUUAAUAUUCGUGGGCCAGGUGGAGGUGACGCCCUCUGUAAGUUGUCCAUCCUUAUCGGAUUGGUAUGGGCAGCGAAAGAGGGCCAGGAAAUAACCCCACCAUGAGACCGUACCCGAAACCGACACAGGUGGACUGGUAGAGUAUACCAAGGCGCUUGAGAGAACGAUGUUGAAGGAACUAGGCAAAUUACCCUCGUAACUUCGGGAGAAGAGGGCCUCAUCCUUGGGCAACCAGGGGUGAGGGGCACAGACCAGGGGGUGGCGACUGUUUACUAAAAACACAGGGCUCUGCGAAGUCGCAAGACGACGUAUAGGGUCUGACGCCUGCCCGGUGCCGGAAGGUUAAGAGGAGGGGUGCAAGCUCUGAAUCGAAGCCCCGGUAAACGGCGGCCGUAACUAUAACGGUCCUAAGGUAGCGAAAUUCCUUGUCGGGUAAGUUCCGACCUGCACGAAUGGCGUAACGACUUCCCCACUGUCUCCAACAUCGACUCAGCGAAAUUGAACUCUCCGUGAAGAUGCGGAGUUCCCGCGGUCAGACGGAAAGACCCCGUGCACCUUUACUACAGCUUCGCAGUGGCAUCAGGCAUUAGAUGUGUAGGAUAGGCGGGAGGCUAUGAACCCCGGGCGCCAGCUCGGGUGGAGCCACCCUUGAAAUACCGCCCUUCCGAUGUUUGCUGUCUAACCGCGUCCCGUCAUCCGGGACCGGGACCCUGCGUGGCGGGUAGUUUGACUGGGGCGGUCGCCUCCCAAAGAGUAACGGAGGCGCGCGAUGGUUGGCUCAGAGCGGUCGGAAAUCGCUCGACGAGUGCAAGAGCAAAAGCCAGCCUGACUGCGACACUGACAAGUGGAGCAGAGACGAAAGUCGGUUCUAGUGAUCCGGUGGUCCCACGUGGACGGGCCAUCGCUCAACGGAUAAAAGGUACGCCGGGGAUAACAGGCUGAUACUUCCCAAGAGUCCACAUCGACGGAAGUGUUUGGCACCUCGAUGUCGGCUCAUCUCAUCCUGGGGCUGGAGCAGGUCCCAAGGGUAUGGCUGUUCGCCAUUUAAAGAGGUACGUGAGCUGGGUUUAGAACGUCGUGAGACAGUUCGGUCCCUAUCUGCCGUGGGUGUAGGAUACUUGAGAGGAGCUGUCCUUAGUACGAGAGGACCGGGAUGGACGUACCUCUGGUGUACCAGUUGUUCCGCCAGGAGCACCGCUGGGUAGCUAUGUACGGA